GGAGAGAUGGCCGAGCUGGCUGAAGGCGCUCGCCUGCUAAGCGAGUGUGUGCCGAAAGGUGCACCGAGGGUUCGAAUCCCUCUCUCUCCGCCA
rnacentral:tRNA from 1 species